rnacentral:lncRNA from 1 species
ACCUAAUCCCCAACACAACUUUAAGAGGCGCUUAACUCAUGAGGGCUUCAGCCGGAUGAACUGAUUAAUGUUGUUUUUGUGGGAGUGGGAUAAAAUAAUGAGUUUGGCCCCCUUCCCACAAGUUCUCUAAUUCUUACCUUCUUUUGCCCUUCCUCCUUUCACAAUGAAAUGAAGCAGCAAGAAGAUCCUCGCCAGAUACGUGGGCCUCUUGAACUUGGACUUCCCAGCCUGCAGAAUGGGCCCGUUACUGUCAGAUUCCGGCAGUUGACCCUGGUGAUUUCACAGCAGCAAGCACUGCAGGCGUUCCCAACACACAAGGCAAACUCUGUAUAUGGGCUCACCACCCACAGAUCCAGCUGUCUGUCAUGUCGUUCCCAUAUUGAAGGAACAUAACCUGUUAUUAAGCCAAUUCAGCCCUGGAAGAAGGAACAAGUUUCCAAAAUGCAAUCUUUGAGUUUGGAAAAUGGCAUUUGAGAGAAGACACUCCCAACUUCUUCUGCAUCUGGAUUUCCUGAGUCAGAAGGUAUCUUCCAGGGAUCUGAAGUGUAGAAAGAUGGAAAUCACAAGACUAUGGAGACUUGCAAACAUUCACCAGCAGUACCUUCA